UACGUAGGUGGCAAGCGUUGUCCGGAUUUACUGGGCGUAAAGGAUGCGUAGGCGGACAUUUAAGUCAGAUGUGAAAUACCCGAGCUUAACUUGGGUGCUGCAUUUGAAACUGGGUGUCUAGAGUGCAGGAGAGGUAAGUGGAGUUCCUAGUGUAGCGGUGAAAUGCGUAGAGAUUAGGAAGAACACCAGUGGCGAAGGCGACUUACUGGACUGUAACUGACGCUGAGGCAUGAAAAGCGUGGGGGAGCAAACAGG
rnacentral:rRNA from 1 species